UCUACAUUCAUUCAUUCAGCAAGUAUUUAUUGAGAACCUGGCUUUUUUCCAGGCCCUGAACAAAUAGAGGCAGGCAAAACUGAGACCCUGUCCUGAUGGAGCUUACAUUUUCUGGGAGAAGACACACAUCACACAAAGAUUGAUUGUAGUCCACAGUGCUACCAAGAGAAACACAGCAAGAUAUAAUAGUUGAAGCUCCAGAAGCCAAUUGGAUAGUGAAAUGAUUUUGGAAAAAAUUGAAGCCAUACAAAACAAAGGUCGAAGGAGCCUGGUUCCCAAUCCACAGAGGUUGAUAUUGACCCUAGAGUGACCAACUAUCUCUGGGCUUCUUAACAGAAAUCUGCAGGUCAGUAUAGAAGUAGCAUGGUGCACCACAAUCAUCAAGGAGUAGAACUCCUUACAGCUUUGUGUGUUUGCCAUCCCUGGGCUGUGGCACUUGAUGACUGCUGGAGCUUCCCUUCUGAAGCAACUGGAAGAUGAAAGGUAAGUUGAAGGCUACACCUCUUCCUUUUUUAGGAGACUUUCUGUAAUUUUCACAGUUGCAUCUUUUUUUUUCUGCUUACAUCUAAUUGGCCAGUAGUCACAUGGCCAUACUCAGCUGCAAAAGAG